rnacentral:rRNA from 1 species
CAGCCGCCACGGUAAUACGAAGGGUGCAAGCGUUAAUCGGAAUUACUGGGCGUAAAGGGCUCGCAGGCGGUUUCUUAAGUCUGAUGUGAAAGCCCCCGGCUCAACCGGGGAGGGUCAUUGGAAACUGGGAAACUUGAGUGCAGAAGAGGAGAGUGGAAUUCCACGUGUAGCGGUGAAAUGCGUAGAGAUGUGGAAGAACACCAGUGGCGAAGGCGGCUUACUGGCUCAUUCUAGACGCUGAGGUGCGAAAGCGUGGGGAGCAAACAGGAUUAGAGACCCCCGUAGUCCCUGUCUCUUAUAC